UACAGAGGGUGCAAGCGUUGUUCGGAAUUACUGGGCGUAAAGCGCGUGUAGGUGGCGAUGUAAGUCGGGUGUGAAAUCCCUUGGCUCAACCAAGGAAGUGCACUCGAUACUGUGUCGCUUGAGUACUGGAGGGGGUGGCGGAAUUCCCGGUGUAGAGGUGAAAUUCGUAGAUAUCUGAAGGAACAUCAGUGGCGAAAGCGACUUCCUGGACCAAUACUGACGCUCAUGUGCGAAAGCGUGGGGAGCAAACAGG
rnacentral:rRNA from 1 species